GAAAACCCCACAAAGCCUACUAUAAAUUCUCUCCUCCAUCUUCAUUUUCCUAACCAUCCCACUGCAAAUCCUCCUUCGCAGCAUAUUCUUCUCUCCCUCCACUCCUUUGCAGCAUAUUCUUCUCUCCCUCCACUCCUUUCAAAUCAACGACCAGAAGGGAAAGAAAAUGGCCAGUUUACGCCUUGCAAGAUUUAUAACAGAAGUUGUGCCAUCACAACUUGCAAUUACCACGAGGAGGCAGAACAAACCCUGCUUCGUGAUGGAUACAAUUCGCGAAGACAGAGAAGAAGAAGAGAGACAUGCACAUGAAAGCUUCAACAAUACUUCUCUCUCUUCUUCUCCAGGAAGCUCUUCUGCUUCUUGGGCAGUGGCUGCUUCAACUGGUUUGAACUCCAAGGUCUACUUCGACCAAGUUCGAACCUCUAUGUUUGUUGUGUUCGGAAAUGACCGUGUUUGUUAGCUGAUGUUGACAGUGCGCAUCUUCGAGGCACAAGGCCUUUCCACCAUAUUUCCUCUUCAUCUGAUAGGAUAAGACCAAGGGCUCCUUUCCUGAGACUGGAGAGAGAGAGAGAAUAUUUUCUUUCUUGAAGUCGGGCUGCUCUCUUGUUUCCCUUUUUUUUUUAAUCUUUGAAGGGGAAUUCUCGUGCUAUGUCUUCAUGGCAAUGAGCUGUAUAUUAUGUGUAGUAAAAUCUUUCGAUUUGUUUCUUCCAUUGUUCUUCUUAUUUUCCUUCUUAUGUCUCAAAAAU
rnacentral:lncRNA from 1 species